AGACCCGAAACCCGGUGAUCUAGCCAUGGGCAGGUUGAAGGUUGGGUAACACUAACUGGAGGACCGAACCGACUAAUGUUGAAAAAUUAGCGGAUGACCUGUGGCUGGGGGUGAAAGGCCAAUCAAACCGGGAGAUAGCUGGUUCUCCCCGAAAGCUAUUUAGGUAGCGCCUCGUGAAUUCAUCUCCGGGGGUAGAGCACUGUUUCGGCUAGGGGGCCAUCCCGGCUUACCAACCCGAUGCAAACUGCGAAUACCGGAGAAUGUUAUCACGGGAGACACACGGCGGGUGCUAACGUCCGUCGUGAAGAGGGAAACAACCCAGACCGCCAGCUAAGGUCCCAAAGUCAUGGUUAAGUGGGAAACGAUGUGGGAAGGCCCAGACAGCCAGGAUGUUGGCUUAGAAGCAGCCAUCAUUUAAAGAAAGCGUAAUAGCUCACUGGUCGAGUCGGCCUGCGCGGAAGAUGUAACGGGGCUAAACCAUGCACCGAAGCUGCGGCAGCGAACGUAUCACUUAAAGCGAUUCAGCGGGUUACGAUUGACGGAGCGAAGCGACGUCAAAGCGUAUACAAAGUCGAGUCGGUUUAAGGAUACGUUCGUUGGGUAGGGGAGCGUUCUGUAAGCCUGUGAAGGUGGCCUGUGAGGGUUGCUGGAGGUAUCAGAAGUGCGAAUGCUGACAUAAGUAACGAUAAAGCGGGUGAAAAGCCCGCUCGCCGGAAGACCAAGGGUUCCUGUCCAACGUUAAUCGGGGCAGGGUGAGUCGACCCCUAAGGCGAGGCCGAAAGGCGUAGUCGAUGGGAAACAGGUUAAUAUUCCUGUACUUGGUGUUACUGCGAAGGGGGGACGGAGAAGGCUAUGUUGGCCGGGCGACGGUUGUCCCGGUUUAAGCGUGUAGGUGUGUGUUCCAGGUAAAUCCGGUUCACUUUAACACUGAGGCGUGAUGACGAGGCACUACGGUGCUGAAGCAACAAAUGCCCUGCUUCCAGGAAAAGCCUCUAAGCAUCAGGUAACAUCAAAUCGUACCCCAAACCGACACAGGUGGUCAGGUAGAGAAUACCAAGGCGCUUGAGAGAACUCGGGUGAAGGAACUAGGCAAAAUGGUGCCGUAACUUCGGGAGAAGGCACGCUGACACGUAGGUGAAGUGAUUUACUCAUGGAGCUGAAGUCAGUCGAAGAUACCAGCUGGCUGCAACUGUUUAUUAAAAACACAGCACUGUGCAAACACGAAAGUGGACGUAUACGGUGUGACGCCUGCCCGGUGCCGGAAGGUUAAUUGAUGGGGUCAGCGCAAGCGAAGCUCCUGAUCGAAGCCCCGGUAAACGGCGGCCGUAACUAUAACGGUCCUAAGGUAGCGAAAUUCCUUGUCGGGUAAGUUCCGACCUGCACGAAUGGCGUAAUGAUGGCCAGGCUGUCUCCACCCGAGACUCAGUGAAAUUGAACUCGCUGUGAAGAUGCAGUGUACCCGCGGCAAGACGGAAAGACCCCGUGAACCUUUACUAUAGCUUGACACUGAACAUUGAGCCUUGAUGUGUAG
rnacentral:rRNA from 1 species